GACGAACGCUGGCGGCGUGCUUAACACAUGCAAGUCGAACGCUGAAGCUCAGCUUUUGUUGGGUGGAUGAGUGGCGAACGGGUGAGUAACACGUGAGUAACCUGCCCCCUUCUUUGGGAUAACGCCCGGAAACGGGUGCUAAUACUGGAUAUUCACUGGUCUUCGCAUGGGGGUUGGUGGAAAGGGUUUUUCUGGUGGGGGAUGGGCUCGCGGCCUAUCAGCUUGUUGGUGGGGUGAUGGCCUACCAAGGCUUUGACGGGUAGCCGGCCUGAGAGGGUGACCGGGCACAUUGGGACUGAGAUACGGCCCAGACUACUACGGGAGGCAGCAGUGGGGAAUAUUGCACAAUGGGCGCAAGCCUGAUGCAGCGACGCCGAGGGAGGGAUGGAGGCCUUCGGGUUGUGAACCUCUUUCGCUCAUGGUCAAGCCGCAACAAUGGUUGUGGUGAGGGUAGUGGGUAAAGAAGCGCCGGCUAACUACGUG
rnacentral:rRNA from 1 species